GUGGGGAAUAUUGGACAAUGGGCGAAAGCCUGAUCCAGCCAUGCCGCGUGUGUGAAGAAGGUCUUCGGAUUGUAAAGCACUUUAAGUUGGGAGGAAGGGCAGUAAGUUAAUACCUUGCUGUUUUGACGUUACCGACAGAAUAAGCACCGGCUAACUUCGUGCCAGCAGCCGCGGUAAUACGAAGGGUGCAAGCGUUAAUCGGAAUUACUGGGCGUAAAGCGCGCGUAGGUGGUUUUGUAAGUUGGAGGUGAAAUCCCCGGGCUCAACCUGGGAACUGCCUCCAAAACUGCAUGACUAGAGUACGGUAGAGGGUAGUGGAAUUUCCUGUGUAGCGGUGAAAUGCGUAGAUAUAGGAAGGAACACCAGUGGCGAAGGCGACUACCUGGACUGAUACUGACACUGAGGUGCGAAAGCGUGGGGAGAAAACAGGAUUAGAAACCCCUGUAGUCC
rnacentral:rRNA from 1 species